rnacentral:rRNA from 1 species
UAUGUCAGCGGCAGACGGGUGAGUAACGCGUGGGAUUUACCUUUUGGUUCGGAACAACACAGGGAAACUUGUGCUAAUACCGGAUAAGCCCUUACGGGGAAAGAUUUAUCGCCGAAAGAUCGGCCCGCGUCUGAUUAGCUAGUUGGUGAGGUAAUGGCUCACCAAGGCGACGAUCAGUAGCUGGUCUGAGAGGAUGAUCAGCCACAUUGGGACUGAGACACGGCCCAAACUCCUACGGGAGGCAGCAGUGGGGAAUAUUGGACAAUGGGCGCAAGCCUGAUCCAGCCAUGCCGCGUGAGUGAUGAAGGCCCUAGGGUUGUAAAGCUCUUUUGUGCGGGAAGAUAAUGACGGUACCGCAAGAAUAAGCCCCGGCUAACUUCGUGCCAGCAGCCGCGGUAAUACGAAGGGGGCUAGCGUUGCUCGGAAUCACUGGGCGUAAGGGUGCGUAGGCGGGUCUUUAAGU